ACACAACAUCUUUAUUUGUAUGUGGUGCUGAGGAUGGAAACCACGGCCCCCGAGCAUGCCAGGAAAUAGCUAUGACACAACAAGGCACUGGAAUUUGGAGGCAAAGACAACAUAGGUUGGAGAUCCAUCUCUGUCACUGUGCAUCCUCAGGCAAGUCACUCAGCCUCUCUGAGCCUGAGUUUCCUUAUCUGUAAAUUAUAGUUAUGAAGUUAAUUGCUAAGUCUCAGAGUCUUCAUAUGUUAAUGACUGUGUAACAUGUAUAUAAGCAAAAUGUGCCUGAAAAUCCUUUGUAGUAGGGUGCAGUGAAAUUGUGAGGUGGCCCCAUUUUUUCCAUGCUUAGUAGUUUCUUGUCCUUUUCUACCCCAGCCUCUGCUGCCACUGCUCCUCAGUUGAAGCCCCCUCUCAUCCAUGACAGUGACUAGUUGCCAUCUCCCUUAAAAUAAGGCCUUCAUGAGCCAAAUCCUCAAAUCCCAACAAGACUCUUUAAAGAAGUAAGGGAGUCAAACUGAAAAUCAAUAACAGAAUAUCAGGAAUAUCUUCAAAUAUUUGAAAAUCAAAUAGAACCUUUGUUAAUAAAAUAAGCAGCAACAUUGAAACCUACAAGUCAAGCACAAAAUCUCAAGUACUGCUGAUAGGAUUGAGUGGGAAAUGCAUGACAAUAAAUGCUUAUUUCAGAUACUAGGCAACAAAUCCAAAACCUAAGUUCCUACUUCAGGAAAUUAGAAAAAGCUGGGCACAGGGUGCACGCCUGUAAUCCCAGCAACUCGAGAGGCUGAGGCAGGAGGAUCACCAGUGUGAGGCCAGCCUCAGCAACUUAGUAAGAUCCUGUCUCAAAAUAAAAAAUCAAGAAGGGCUGUGGAUGACGGUCAAUGGUGGAGCAUCCCUGGAUUCAUUCCCCAGUACCAUAAAAUAAAUACAUACAUACAUAAAAGCAAUUAGAAAAUGAAGAACACAAUAAAUCCAAAGUAAGCAGAAAAUAGAAAAUAAUACAAUUAAAAGCAAAAAUCAACGAAACUGGAAACAAUAAUGUAGACAAUCAAUGAAACAAAAAAAAAACCCAGCUUCUUCAAAAGUAUUAAAAGAAUUGAAUAAAUAAACUUUAUAAAUCACCAAUAUCACUUUUUGGUGUGGUAGUAGAUAUAAGAACCUACACAUGUGACAAAAUUGCAUAGAAAUGUUGGGCACAGUGGUGCAUGCCUGUAAUCCCAGCAACCCUGAAGGCUGAGGCAGGAGGACAACAAGUUUGAGUCCAGCCUCAGCAAUUUAGGGAAAAGCUAUCUCAGAAUAAAAUAAUAAAAAAGGAUAGGGAUGUAGCUCAGUGGUAGAGCACCCCUGGGUUCAAUCCCUAGUACCACAAAAACAAAACAAAAGCUAAAGAAAAAAUACAUAGAACUAAAUAUAUAGAAAUGAGUACAAGUCAAAUGGAGAGAUCUGAGCACAAUCUGUCUGUCUCAAUGAUAAUAUCCUGAUUGUGGUAUUGUACUAUAGUUUUUUUUUGUACUGGUAUUGAUGGAAACUGGUAAAUGAUAUACAGGAUUUCUACUAUUUCUUAUAACUGCACAUAAAUCUAAUACCUCAAAAUUAAAAGUUUAGUUAUUAAUUUUAUGUGUGUGUAUGUGUGUGUGGUACUGGGGAUUGAACCAGGGCCUUGUGCAUGAAAGACAAGCACUCUACCAACUGAACUAUACCCCAUCCCUUAGUUACUAUUUUUGAAAGUAUCAACUUGUGCCAGACUUAGUUGAGCAGUUAGCUGGAGGCUACUCAUGUCGCUUCCGACACCUGGCUGAUCAACUGGUGCUGAAUGCUCUAAGAUAACCUGGAGUGUCUGACAGUUGGGGCUGGCUGUUGACUGGGGUAUUACCUGGAGGUAGUCAACCGUCAGCCCCAAUCGCUAGACAUCCCAAGAUCGUCUUAGAGCAUUCAGACCCCAGUCCCGCUGCACAAAGCAUUUUUCAACUCUCUGCUUGCAUCACAUUGCUGAUGUACCAUUGGCCAAAGCAAGUCACAUGAUAAUGAUCAGGGUCAUUGUGGGAAAGGACUACAUAAGGGCAAGAACAUAAAGGGGCAUGAUUUAUUGGGUGCCAUUUUUGAAAUGACCUUCCACCAGGGUGAAAAGGAUUUUUCAACUGUAUUUCUUCCUGGACAGCUAUCAUUUGCAUAUGCCCAAAUAUCUUUGAAUACCUCUCUAUAUUUAGAGAUCGCCUAGCCUUGAGAAUACACCUUUCCCAGCUGCUCUUUCUAUUGUGCUACAGGCAUGUGACUUGGGUUCCACCAGCCAGACAUAAGUAUGAGACUCAAAAUGACUUCUGAAGAAACAAGCAGAGCAUGGAACAUCCAUUUUGUUGAGAGUGGAGGAAAUGGAGACAGCAGAUUUCUGAGGUUAAAAGGGGUGGCAAGGGGCUGGGGUUGUGGCUCAGUGGUAGAGCGCUCACCUAGCAUGUGCAAGGCUCUGGGUUCGAUCCUCAGCACCACAUAAAAAUAAAUAAGUAAAAUAAAGGUACUGUGUCCAACUACAACUAAAAAAUUAGAAAAUUUAAAAAAAAAUGGUGGCAAUAUCUUCUUGACUGAGGCAGCUGCAGUUGACUCUGAGCUUGCUGAGAGUAAGGGGAGAGAUUUGCUGACCAUGGUUGAGAAGCCUGGCACAGGAGUGGGACAGCCAUAGCUCCCUAGUUCUCUCUAGUUCUAUGGUAUGAGGAGAGGGAUUGUUGCUAGAACCCCCGUUUAUAGCUUAUUCCCCCAGGCUUUGCUUGAUUUUGAUUCAUUUGUAGCAAAUCCCAUUCUGCUUAAACUAGCUGGAGGGGGUUCUGUUUUCUGUACCUUGUAAUCAAGCUAAUGGAUAAAAUUCCUUUUUGAAUUAUCAACCAUAUGGCCAUCUUGCUUAUUCAAAAAUAAACAAAAAUGCAAUUUUAAAAUAAAAAGUGUAAAAUUAUGUGAACACAUGCUUUUUCAUAGGCUCCCCAGUCCCCAAGCAUUUCCUCUCUCUCCUGACUUGAACCUGACCUCUUGCCCCAAGGCACAAUCUUGAGUCCUGGUUGAUCCAUAUGGAAUCAUCAUUGUCAUUGGUCCAAAUAGCCACAUUCCUGCAAUUUCAUAGAGUUCAACUUCACACAUGCUAUUCUUUUUGAACUGAUCCUCUCGAAAAACUUCAAUUAUCAUCUCUCUGCCAAUUUUUCUGGUCUUGAACAAGCUUCUGUAUGAUGGCUCUAACUUCCAAUGAGACAUUCUACUCAGAUGUGUCCAUGCCACCUUAAAUAAAAUGCAUAUAAAAAACCAAGUGUAUCCGCUUUCCCACAGGCUGAUAUUCUCAUCAGAUGUCUCUAAUUCAUCACAGACAUUAAUAUUUCCUCUGUCACUCAGGCUGGACCAAGUGUAGAUUCAUUAUGACUGCCUUCUAAAUAUCUCACCAUCAGUAGCACAGAGUGGUGGUUUAGAGCAGAGACACGGGAGCCAGACUGCCUGGGUGUGAAUUUUGGCUCUGCCAUUUAUUGAUGUGUGUCCUCGGGCAUGUUACGUCCUCUUAUUGUGCCUCAGUUUACUCAUCUGUAAAAUAGGAAUGUCAGUAGUACCUAAUCUAGGAGGUGCAGAUCAGUUCAGAUUUGUUUGUCACCUGGCAUGUAAUGGUGUGAUUUUUCACAUCUUAAGAAGAUAAACCUCUUGUGUUUGUCUUUUCUUUCCCUUCCAACUGUCAUCACCUGCUUCCGGUUUUCAUCUCCCUAAUUUUCUCCCUGCCUCCAGCUCUUCCUAUUCCAGCUUCUCCUUCACACCGUUGCUACUACAUUGACCUUCCCAGAUCACUGAGGGGACCCCAUCCAGUGUCCCACAGAAACCUCCAAAGCUCCUUAAUGCCAACAGCAACAAGGCACAACCCAGAUAUACAUGGCUGUAACCCAGGUGAUCUGUCCUUUCCACAUUUCUGGGACCCGACCUUCCAGAACAUUCCAUUCUUUAAUCCCCAGGGCUUUCACUAGUAUUCAUUUGCAUUUUUAGUAGCAGGAUCACUAGCUAUUCACAUGUGUACGCUUUCCUUCCCUGAAUAGAUAGAAAGUUCCUGAAGAUCGGAGAGCUUCCCCUACAAGGCCAGGCAUGGACCAGUGCUGGGUAAAUAUUGAUCUUGACUUGAAUUUGCUCUUUAAUCAUGUCUCCUGUGUAGCCUCCUGGUAGAGCCAGUUUGACAACUUCUUUCUUUCUAAAAUCAUGCAAUUUUAAAACCAAGAACAAGCGCCAGAGUAGGAGGUAGGUUUGUACCCUCUGAGAGAGAUUUCUGCAGAAGGAAGAGUCCAACUGUAGGCGUGAGAGGCAACAACAACAUCAUUAACAAGCAGUGUGUCCAGCGAGGCUCAUAUAAUGCCUCUGGACCUCAUUUCUGCAUCUGCAAAAUGAGAACACCAACCCAGCUCCAAAUCCCCAUCAAGCUCAAACACUCUGUGACAAAUCUCCAAGAGGGUGGAUUCAGGAGACUGAUUUUCAAAUUGAUUGAGCAGCAUAGAGUUACUGCAUGAAGAAUUAAACUGCUGUUCCUAACAAUUCAUUUCCUGAGUUCAGCCUAUCAACCAACGUUUAUUAAGCACCAUUUACUUUGCGAUAGCCUGGGCUGAGUGCUAUGGAGACAUAGAAGUGGUAUCAUACAGAAUCCAUCCCCUGGAGGAGUUUGUUAUGUAAUCAGAGUUUAUUAUAUAAUAAAACCUUACCAAGCUCAUGA